rnacentral:rRNA from 1 species
ACGUAGGAUCCGAGCGUUAUCCGAAUUUACUGGGCGUAAAGCGCAUGUAGGCGGUUUGGUAAGUUGGAUGUGAAAGCUCCCGGCUCAACUGGGAGAGGCCGUUCAAAACUACCAAACUUGAGGACGGUAGAGGGAGGUGGAAUUCCCGGUGUAGUAGUGAAAUGCGUAGAUAUCGGGAGGAACACCAGUGGCGAAAGCGGCCUCCUGGACCGUUUCUGACGCUCAGACGCGAAAGCUAGGGGAGCGAACGG